CGUAACCUAUUGUCGAAGGCAGCUCACUAAACUAGCAACUGACGUUCAUGCUCGAAAGUGUGGGUAGUCAAACAGGAUUAGAUACCCUGGUAGUCCACACGGUAAACGAUGAUUGCUAGGUGUGGGGGGUCGUGACCCCUUCCGUGCCCGGAGUUAACGCAAUAAGCAAUCCACCUGGGGAGUACGGCCGCAAGGUUGAAACUCAAAGGAAUUGACGGGGGCCCGCACAAGCAGUGGAUUAUGUGGUUUAAUUCGAAGCAACGCGAAGAACCUUACCAGGUCUUGACAUCCGACUAACGAGAUAGAGAUAUGUUAGGUGCCCUUCGGGGAAAGUCGAGACAGGUGGUGCAUGGUUGUCGUCAGCUCGUGUCGUGAGAUGUUGGGUUAAGUCCCCGCAACGAGCGCAACCCCUGCCAUUAGUUGCUACGCAAGAGCACUCUAAUGGGACCGCUACCGACAAGGUGGAGGAAGGUGGGGACGACGUCAAAUCAUCAUGCCCCCUUAUGACCUGGGCUACACACGUAAUACAAUGGCCGUUAACAAC
rnacentral:rRNA from 1 species